AAGGAAUAUUGCUCAAUGGGAGAAAUCCUGAAGCAGCAACGCCGCGUGGAGGAUGAAGGGUCUAUGACUUGUAAACUCCUGUAAAGAAGGAAAAAAUUCCCAUUUGAUGGGAGAUGAUGGUACUUCUGGAGUAAGCCCCGGCUAACUACGUGCCAGCAGCCGCGGUAAUACGUAGGGGGCAAGCGUUGUCCGGAUUUACUGGGUGUAAAGGGUGCUCAGGCGGAUUUGUAAGUCAGAGGUGAAAUCUUACAGCUUAACUGUGAAACUGCCUUUGAUACUGCAAGCCUAGAGUAUGGAAGAGAGUGAUGGAAUAUCUGGUGUAGCAGUGAAAUGCGUAGAUAUCAGAUAGAACACCAAUGGCGAAGGCAGUCACUUGGUCCAUUACUGACGCUAAAGCACGAAAGCGUGGGUAGCAAA
rnacentral:rRNA from 1 species